GAAGCCCUACUAUAUCCUUGUUCUUUGUGGCCAGAUUCUUUAACUUUCCCUUGGAUUGAAGUAGACUCCCCCAAAUCCUUCUUCUUGUUAAAGUAGCUUGAAUUGGAGUCACAGGAACAAUUGUCCAGAAGCCUGUAACAAUUAAUUCCCACUGGAGCAGGAGAUGAGGAUACCCUGCUGGCAAUGAGCAUUUUAUUUCUCUCGCUUUAAUAAUUUGUAAUGGUUUUAAUUUACAUUUAUUUAACUACCAGUGAGGUUAGAUUUUUUUCAUAUGCUUAUUAGCCAUUGGUAUUUCUCUUUUAUAUAUUGAUAUAGUUUGGAUAUUUGAUCCCACACAAAACUCAUGUUGAAUUGUAAUCCCUGGUGCUGGAGGUGGGGCCUCGUGGGAGGUGUUUGGGUCAUGGGGGCGGAUCCUUCAAUGACUUGGUCCUGUCUUUGUGAGAGUAAGUUCUUGUGAGACUGGGUCAUUUAAAAGUGUGUGUGGCACCUCCCCCAUCACUCUCUCUCUUGCUCCUGCUCUUCCAUGUGAGACACCUGCUCCCACUUUGCCUUCUGCCACGAUUGGAAGUUUCAUGAGGCCUCCCCAGAAGCUGAGAAGAUGCUGGUAUGCUUCCUGUACAGCCUGUAGAACAGUGAACCAAUUAAAUUUAUUUUCUUUAGAAAUUAUCCAGUCUCAGGCAUUUUUUAAUAGCAAUGCAAGAAUGGCCAAAUACAUGUAUGUUGUGGGAGCUGAAAACACUGCAUCACAGGUCCCCAUGUUCGAUGCGGAGCUCAGAAAGAGUGCCCACACCUGGUUCUGCCUGGAGGAGGAACUGGCAUGACUCACAAUCAGCUUCGUGAAGGAGUGGGAUUGCUAAUGUCCUUGUAGCACUGGGCCAGAAGGAAUUGGUCCUUAACUAGAAGUAGAACUGGUCAAUUAAGGCUUGGCCAGGAAAAGAACAAGGAGGAAGAUGAAGUGUUGGGGGAAGAUUCUGAAAAUCAGUGCUACACAACAGGACCGCCUCCGUGCUUCUGACUUUCCCUCCUCUCCAUCCUGUGACUGAAGAGCUAAACAUCUAAGAUCUGUGCUCUGCCAGAAGCCAAGUGACAUAGAAUAGCACAAAGGCUCAACCUUGGACCCUGGAGCCUCUCCAAAUCUCCCCGCCAUCACAUCCUGACCAAUUAAUUGAAGCAAGUCCCUUCAUGUUCCUGAACCUUAGUUCUUUGACCCACAAAAUGGGAUAACUUGAUAGAAUUUUUGAGACAAUCAAAUGACAUAUUACUUACAAAAAUGAUUCAUAUUCCAAAAAAAAUUGACAACAUAUAACUAUACUAUUAAUAAUAACAUUUUAGGAUUCACAUUGAUUAGAAUAAUGUAUUUGACAAAAGUACUUUGAGGAUAUAUCUGAUGAGUCCCCAGAAGAAUGCUACCACAUUGCCUUUCUGUGACUUGGGACCUGGGAGAUUUGGGGACAUUAGACAAGAUAAAGAAUAAUUCUCUUUCUACCUGAUUGGGCCCAUAGGAUAUAAAUAUAAAGGCACUUCCCCUAAAUUGCAGCUGAUAGGUACUGGGCAGAGAAGCUGGUUUUAUUUUAGAUUUAUGUAGUACAAUAACAAUAUUACAACUGAAGUACCAAAAGUUUUGAACAUGAAAUGUUUAUGCCUAUGAAAUACUUAAUGAUCUUUCCUGCACAAGAUGGAAAGGCUAUCGGCUUAGAGGAAAAUAACAAAAUGUCCAAAAAGGAAUGUGUGAAAUAUCUUUUGCAGGUGCACAGUUCAGGAUGCUUUCUGUCAUUCAUCCAAAUACUUUCUUCACUGAGAGAUACUGAAGAAAAAUAAACGACAGUGAGAUUCACAGUCACAGUUUCCUCACAUCACCCCGACUCGGGAUGAAGAACUUGAACUUUUGUCUGUUAAAGUUACAAACUAAGAAAAUAGUACAGGAGCUUUUCUAAAGGUAAAACUGGCUCUCCUUUCUUGCAGGACUUCUUGAACAGGCCCCAGACUCAGAGACAUAGUCCUGCAGCCCCAAAGUCUUAUCAUUGUUUUUUACUCAAAUGGUUUUAGUAUUAUUUAGGGUCUAAUAUUAUCAAUACUCUCAUUUCCUAUAGAUUAUACUUUUCUCAAGGUGCCCUGGAAACAUUAGCUAAGCUCUUUUUUUCAGUGUUUUCCUUUGCCCUGAAAAAAAUUAAUCUGACCUACUCAAGAUUGACCCAUCAACCGGUUCACCUCUAGGGCUGGGAGGGUAGGGUGGCACUGUGAACACAGAAGCCUGUCAGGGUAAACUCAGCUGUUGGAGCAAGCAAGCCACCUUUGUCUUUGUGCCUCCCCUCUGUCUUUCCAGAAUGUUUCUCCCACAUCUUCCAAACACCGUAGCCCUAUUACUCUGGCUAUCCACUCCCUCCUGCCCCGCAGCCCCACCUCUGGACUUGCAUUUCUCCUCCCCUCAAAUGCUACCCAGACUGUCUUCAACCGCCCCAGACUCUCCCACUCUUUAGCUUGAAAAGCCAAUCAUUCCCUGAGCUUUUUGCUCUUGGGCAAGGGAAAUGUGAGGUGAAAAAUCCCUAAUGUGUAGGAAUAAGUGUUACUUAGAAGAAUUCCAGGCAACCUUAUUGAAGGGCGAGGAAGGUGGUCAUUUGAGUCCUUGGAAUGCCAGUGCUCGGGUCACUGUGGAAGUCAGGAUGGUCCUGUAGAGCAGGGAAUUGGAGGUGGGUGGCGCAAGUUGUUGUUGAAUUGUGUAUGUUCUGACCUCUGCCACCCAGGCCAAUUUUAAAAGGAACUCUUCCUGGUGUAAAGUCUAAAAAUGAGGGAGAAAAAAAUCAGAUUUUAUUCUAAAUUUAAGCUCCUAUUUCUAGUCUUAGCUCACGUAUGAUGCGAGCAGUAGUGGCUCACAUCGCAUCCCAGUGGCUCACCCCUACACAGAGGCCAAAGCUCCAGAAGGUUGGCAAAAUUGGCAGUUUCCAAAGACGGUCUCCUGACUAGCAGCAUCAGUCUCACCCGAGGACUUGAGAGAGGUGUAAGUUCUUGGGCCUUACUCUGGGGCUCCUGAGUCAGAGCCUCUGGGGAUGGGGCUUAGCAAUCUGUGUUUUAACAAGGCCUCCAGGUUAGUCUGAGGCACCCUCAAGUUGAGAACCACUGUGCAAAAGGUACAGCUCUGCCCUUGCUUAAGAAGAUUUGAUUAAAAUCACAGCUGCACUACCAUUUAUAGGCCAAAUUGUUUCAGAAAGAUUUUAAGGGAGCUGUCUUUCAACUCCCUGUGUGACCUUAAGCUGUUCACAUAAACAAUCUGCAGCUCUUCAGUUAGCUAUAAAAUGGAAAUUGUGACAUCACACUCGAAGCUGUUAGGAAAUAUGAAGUAGUAUACCUGAAAAGUAGAGGAAAUAUGAAGUAAUAAGUAUGAAAGUAUAUUUAAAAUCAUAAAGCAGUAUGAAAAUAACAGAGACAUAAUUAUCUUCCAUCUCUCUUUUUAUUUCUUUUCUUCCUUUUAUCCUUUCCCCGUCCCUUUUCCUUCCUCUCUCUAUCCUUUCACUCCAGCUUUUCUUCCUGCCCUUCUUCCUUACUUCUGUGUGACAUAUGUUAUCUAUAGUUCCUGGGUUUUAAAUUAACCCUAAGUUCUUUAAUAUUGAAUAAAUUUACACCCCACUCUAUUAAACAUUGUAUUUGUUUAAAAAGUCCAAAUGCUUUAUUUAGUGCUUGAGAUACUUUUGUAUCUAUGAGCCUGACCAUAAAUGAAUCAGAAAUAUUUGAAUUUUAUUUCUCUAUUAUCUUUUACACAAAACAUGGUUUUAAAAUUAAGGGAAAAAUUCCUUGGCAAAAUGAAUUUCAGAUUUGGGAAAAAAAUGUUGGAUGUUCCAAACCCAAACACUGCUGAGCUUUUAUCCCUGUUGAUGUGAAAUAUUUAGUGCCUUACCAAUUUCAGGAUACAUAUGAUCUGAGUGAAUAUCUGUUAACUGCUUUCUUUUGUUUAUGAAAUAGGCAAUGCCUGUUUAAGACCUUAAAAUUUCACUAUGUCCAACCUAAAAGGAUAAACAAACACCAGUGAUAAAUGAAUCCCAGAAAUAAUUUUGUUUGUCUAUAUGUAAACGAAACACUGCAAUUUUGCAUGUGAGUUCUUACUUAUAGUUUUUCUUUCAGAAAGACAUUGUAAUAUAGUGGAAAUAAUAUGUAGCUUGGAAUUUAAUAGGCCUAUAUCUGAAUAAUGGCCAUGCCAUUUACUAGCUUGAGGGCAAAAUAUUUUACCUGGAUGAUCACUGUUUUCUGAUAAAUAAUAAGAAUGGUGAUAUGAUGCUAUAAAUCUGUAGAAAACAUCAAAUCAAAAGAUAUGAUAAAAUUCACUCCUUCUCUUGAGUAAACAAAAUAGACAUAGGUUCAGACAUAAUCUCAAUACAUUUCAGACCAGAGGAAUCACACACAUGAAAUACUAUUCCUAUGAAGCAUUAUUAUUUAUGGAUUAGUUUUGAUUCCUAAUAACACAAAAAAUGCUAAUAGAAAAAUGAAAAUGAUGAGAAAUUGGGAUUGGAGUCUAUAAAGUUUCCAGAAAUGUAUUACUCUGAAUAAACAAAUUAUUUGGUAGAGUACAGACACCACUCAUGUUCAUUUCAUGAAUAAACCAAAAUGGCCAAUUGGAAUAUUGCUUCCCCAAUUAGUUUACACGCUAAAUUAUUGCAUAUAUAGAAAGAAAAUGUUCAGUUUUAAAAUAUAUAAAGCAAUAAAAACCAGUCCUAAGUAAUAUCAUCAAAUUAUAUUGACAUUGAAUGCUCCAUUAAACUGAGUUAAAGAGCUGUAUCCAGUCAUAUGAAAGAGAUUUUCAUUUUUAAUUGUUAACAAGUGCGUCUUACCAUGGCAAAGCCGUCUUGCUCAUGGUUAAUUGGCUCAAGUCUUGCUUGAGAAAUGAAGGUAGAACACAUUGCUAAUCCUAUUGCUUAUCCCUAGCCUACCAUUAAAGUCUUCCUCCCUACCUCUUUUUCCUGGGUUUUCUGGCGUUUCAACUUCUCCACUAUCUUCACCAUUUGGAAUCCUCCGUUAUUAUUGAAAAGAGUCCUCCAAGAAAUUCUUAUUACCCCUUUGCCCCCUUAAAUUGGUGCAGAAUCUCUGUGGUCUUUGAAUCCCCAUAAACUUUAUAAAUUAUGCUUUCCUCUAUUUUAUUUUGUAACUACUUGUGCCUGCUGCCCUGUGAGCCCUCUGGGUAUGUCCUUGGUACCUGCAGUGUCUAGAACACAGUGUAGCACAGUAUCUGCCACAGUGAAGUGUGCAGAGUGAAGUUGUUCUAGCAGAGUUGAGAGGUAUAGUGGGCAGUAUGGCAGAGGUUGGGAUAAUUUCUAGAGCAGAAGUCAAGUUCAGCUUACAUGCUUGACUGAGUAAGCCACUUGUCUAUAAAGAUAAAGCCACACAUGCAAGCAAUUUGCUUCAUCACAGAUCUGUUUCAUUUGUCCCAUGUAUAUUCAUGCAAAACCUAUGCACUUCCUCUCAUUGUAAAAAAAUUAGGGCCAAAUAUACACUGGCCCAAGAAAUAUAUCUUUCAUGUGAUUCUUUUGUGGAAUGGACAUAUUGACACUGAUAAAUUAUAAAAAUGGCGACUGGUAAGAUAUAAACCAUGACACACAGCAUAUUUUAAAUGGUGAGCUAGAACAAUACCAUUUUUAAAAUGUGUAAAUUGAUUUUUAUUUUAGGGAUGUUUUGGACUCUUACACUUGUGAGACAACCUGAGAAUGCAAUGUUUAAUUAAUUUAUUAGUCUACUUUUUAAAAUAAUAUACCUGAAAAAAUCACAAAGAAGAUGAAUAGUAAAUUAUUUUCAAGUAUGAACUGAAUAACACCUCGCUGUUAUUUCAAUAUAACAGAUACAUAAAAUGUCUUUUGAAGAAUAAUGGUCUUCACAGAACACGUAGUUGAUUCCAAGUGAUUUCAAUUUAUUAUCUGAAUACCUAACUUUUAGUUGUUUUUAACCAUGAAAGUAUAAAUGAAAUUCUUAACUAAUGGCUGCAAAUUCCUCAAAAACAUCAUAAGUGGAAUUCCCCAAAAUGAUGCAAGUGUGUAAUUCAGUAUUAUUUCUUAACCACUUAUGAAGGCAACCAAAUAAAAAAAGAAAGAAAAACUUUUAAAAAGUUCCUGUUUCUUAUGUAAGUCAUAAUUUAAUUUCCUAUAUUUAUUUGACUCAAAAGUAACGAGACUAAUGUACACCCACAUUAAAAACAAUUCUUGCCCUGUGGUCCUCGCUCAGGAGUGCUGCAUUUGCUCUGCGGGUGCCGCUGGCAGUGUUUCCAGAGGCUGCUGUAGUCAGCGUGAGGGGGCUAUGUCAUGACUUGCUCCGUUUGAGAGGAAAGAAAGGAGCAGAGUUGCUCAAACAGCAAUGGGGCAAGGAACAAAAGUAAUAGAAAUCAUUUUUCAGUAUAACACAUACACUGAAUUGCUUCUUUUUAUUAUUUGUAUAAUAUAGUUUACAUGAUUUUUUGGUUUUAUUUUGCUUUUCCCCAAGAUUAUCAGAAAAAUAUCGCAGUAGCCUUCAAGUGUAUUUAAUCAGCUCUGCAAAGGAAAACUCAGAUUCAUGGGAGGAAAAGAAGUGAAAAAAAUUAGUUAACCUUUCAUACAGUCUCAAAACAAAUCACAACGAAGAUGAAUAGGAAAUUAUUUUCAAGUAUCAAUAAAGUUUAGAAAAUGAAACUCCCAGGAAAUCAUCUUAAAAUUUUUUCCUUUUCCUUUUUAAAUUUUUUGUCUUAUUUCCUACAUUCGCUUGUCCUAAAGAUGAAAGCAUUAUGAUAAUUAACUCCAGGAAGAUACUUAUAUUAUGGAGUUUUAGAUGAGAUACCCUUUUAAAAAGGUCUAGAAGAGAGAAAAUUCUUUGUACAGUAAAAGGGAGAGUUGCGAUCUUUUUUUUUUAAUGUUACUGAAAUAUGGUUUGUUGCUGAGAGAUUUAUGAGAGGGAAUAAGAGAUCAAAAAUUCCUUCUGAAAGUUUGAGGUUCAGUAAACACCAAACCACUACUUUCCAAACAAGUUUCUAUUUUUAAAAUGUCCUGAAGAUUAUAGAGUGAAAUUUAAUCUAUGUUUGAAUCAUUGUCUUCUGUAUCAGCAAAACAUUACUUUACAAAGCUACAGCAUGUCCUUGAGGCAAUCUGAGUUGCAUUAUGGGGGAAGGAGAAUGGAUGGAAGGGAAGGCUUAACACUUACAUUUUUAAAAUAACAUGUAAUUUCGCUUUAAUGAAUGAAAGCAAAAAAAUAAUUGUUUGGUACGUUUAUUAAUGUAAUGCCUUUAGUAAAGAAAUACAAAUAAUAUUAAAGUUAUUUCACACUACUUUGUUUUAUAAAGCAUAAAUGUAUUAGGUGAAAACAUUUAAAAUUAUUCUCUUGCUCUACUGAAAACUGAAGAUAAUGUGCUAAAUAUUAAGAAUGAUGUAAAGGAAUUAAUUUUAAUGGGUUCCUCAAAUACUGUUUUGAACCAUUGACAGUGGCAUCUUGAAUUGAGAUAAUAAACUUUAAUUGUU
rnacentral:lncRNA from 1 species